GCUGAUGGUAUUAUGAUGCUGAUGUUAUUAUGGUGCUGAUGUUAUUAAGGUGCUGAUGGUGCUGAUGUUGCUGAUGGUGCAGAUGCUAUUAUGGUGCUGAUGGUUAUGAUGUUAUUAUGGUGCUGAUGGUAUAAUGGUGCUGAUGGUAUUAUGUUAUGAUGUUAUUAUGGUGCUGACGGUGCUGAUGUUAUUAUGAUGCCGGUGUUGAUGAUGUUAUAAUGGUGCUGAUGGUGCUGAUGUUAUUAUGAUGCUGAUGGUAAUGAUGUUAUUAUGGUGCUGAUGGUGCAGAUGAUUUAUGGUGCUGAUGGUGCUGUUGUUAUUAUGGUGCUGAUGGUAUUAUGGUGCUGAUGUUAUUAUGGUGUGGAUGAUAUUAUGCUGCUGUUGGUGCUGAUGGUAUUUUGGUGCUGAUGGUGCUGAUGUUAUUAUGGUGCUGAUGUUAUUAUGAUGCUGAUGGUGCUGAUGUUAUUAUGAUGCUGAUGGUGCUGAUGUUGCUGAUGGUGCUGAUGUUAUUAUGAUGCUGAUGGUGCUGAUGUUAUUAUGAUGCUGAUGGUGCUGAUGUUGCUGAUGGUGCAGAUGCUAUUAUGGUGCUGAUGUAGCUGA
ensembl:lncRNA